rnacentral:misc_RNA from 1 species
CAAGAUUUCACUUUUAGGUUACGUUUACAAUGAAAUGAACGUGAGGUUUUGUUCAUUCUAUUUUAAAAUAUUUCUCAUUGUCCAGUUCUAAGUGGUAUAUUAGUGAGGAAUUUUGCAUUUUCAAAAAUAAAUCAAACUUGUAUUAACAUUCAUUCAAAAAGCCAUGAGUGCCGAAGCAAAGCCAUCGUUCAACAAUAUGAAGUCAGAAGACAGCUUAGACACUUGUAGCAAUAUUAAAACUCAGCUGAGCGACAAGGAUCUGACACAAUUGGAAAAACAAAACUCACGGAUGGUAUCACAGUUCAUGGCCGACAAAAUUGAACGUGAAUCAAGGAAGCACUGGGACUUGUUCUAUAAACGCAAUGAGACUAGAUUUUUCAAAGACCGCCACUGGACCACUAGGGAGUUUGUAGAAUUAGCUGAGUGUGAAAGUAGUGAAAAAACUGUUCUAUUUGAAGUGGGAUGUGGUGUUGGUAACUUGAUGUAUCCUCUACUCGAGGACGGAUUGAAUUUGUUUGUGUAUGCUUGUGAUCUGUCACCUCGUGCUGUUGACUUUGUGAAAAGCCAUGAUCAAUACUCUGAGGAUAAGGUGAAAGCGUUCCAGGCUGACAUAACUGGAGAUGACCUAACCUUGAAUGUGCCAGAAGCAUCGGUGCACAUUGUCAGUUUGAUAUUUGUUUUAUCGGCCAUACAUCCUGAUAAGCAUGCGCUUGUUUUGAAGAAUCUGUCCACUGUUAUUCGUCCUGGAGGCAAGAUUAUAUUCAGGGAUUAUGGCCUGUACGAUAUGGCGCAGUUGAGAUUCAAACCCGGCCAUAAAAUUGCUGAUAACUUCUACAUGCGUCAGGAUUGUACAAGGAGCUAUUUCUUCUCAACCGAGUACUUAACAAAGUUGGCCACCGAUUGUGGAUUCGAGGUGAAGACAAAUUCGUAUGUGUACAGGCGAACAGUAAACAAAAAAGAAGACAUUGAUGUCCCCAGGAGAUUCGUGCAGGCAGUAUUUGUAAAACCAACCUCAUAGUCGCCACAACACUCAAAUUGGUGCCCCAAAUGUUGAAGAUGAAGAGCUAAGCGUUGGUAUGACCUCAAUUCGGGACUUGAAAAUCCGUAUCCUACUUUAUUCAACAAAAGAAAAUGGACAAUUAUGGAAGUAUGAAAGGUACUUCCAGCCGGAUGCCACAGUAGUAGCGACAGUUUUCGCUCCCAUUAUGUUCCCUCCCUGCUCUGUGCUCGCCUUCGAAGAGAAAAGCGAUGGAUCCAUGCCCCUAGUAGCAACAGGCAGCCUGCUAUCAGUUAACCCCGAUCGACUGGUGAUCAAGAGGGUCGUGCUGUCAGGUCAUCCGUUCAAGGUCAACAAACGAUCAGCUGUUAUUCGCUACAUGUUCUUCAACCGUGAAGACAUCGCCUGGUUCAAGCCGGUCGAACUGAGGACCAAGUACGGUCGCAGAGGUCACAUCAAGGAGCCUCUGGGUACUCACGGACACAUGAAGUGUGUGUUUGAUGGCCAGCUGAAGUCUCAGGACACAGUUCUUCUCAACUUGUACAAGAGGGUUUUCCCCAAGUGGACCUACGAGCCUCUGGUUUGUACAAAAAGUGUCACCCCAAUGGAAUAGAGUUUAUUUAUGUACAUAGAAUAAAAUAAUAUU